UACUUUAAGCCAAUAGGAGUCAGUUCC
rnacentral:piRNA from 1 species